AGCCAGAAAACUUACGGUCGAUCACGUGUCUCGCACAGCUCCUCCUCCUCCUUCCACCCACCAGUCAACCUUAUCUCUUUGUCAUUUCCAAUUUUCUUUCACCCAGCCUUUCUCCUCUGCUCUCUCGAUCUCCAGACAAUUCCAAUUCGUCUUCGUCCACUGGCCACCGGGGCAGCUUGGAGCGGUGGCAGAAGGGGCGGGGCCAACCUCCGGCGACCCGCGGCUUGAGUGAGGUGACAAGAAGUGAGGCGUCAUGAACACAUCUUGGAGCGGCGGAUCCGUGUGGCAUCUCGUCGGAGCGCCGGAUCCGAGCGGGCACAGCCGAGCUCUGGAGCCGUAGAUCCCUUGAGUACUAGAGGCCGCGAUGUUGUGUGAUGCCACUGCCGGCAGCAAGACAUCCUGGCAAACUACUUCACAAAAAUUGAACUGAAGGACCCUGUUGAAAAUAUUGAAGCUAAAUUGGUCCGCUAAGCUGCUGCUAAAGAAAUGAUUUGGCUGGUGAGGGAGCAACCACUUCGGUCAUCCUUGCUCAAGGGAUGAUUACUAGGGUGUAAAGGUACAUCAAUGCAGAAACCUCAUGUCUGCUUAUAUCGUAUCUGUUUUGCACGCUAUUGUGAAAGCUAUACUAAGGUUGCUUUCCCAUAUGGUAGCUGCUGGUGCUAAUCCAGUGCAGAUGACCCCUGGUAAGAGAAAACAACCAAAACCACUAGUGAAUGACAAAAGAUGUCCAAUGAGGUAAAUUCUGGUGCGGUUAUCAUCUUUAUUAUGUUGUGGACAUUAGUAUUUUUUUAACAUCUGAAAAUCAUGUUGCCACAACACAAUCACAUAUUGCAUAUGCAUAUCUGAUGAUUUAUCGCACUGUACCAGCUAGAAAGCUAACCAUAAUUACCAUAUAUGAGAUAUAUCUAUUAUUGCUAUAGGCCGUUUUCAAUUCAGACUAUGUGUGCAACAUGGCUUGCCCUGUUUUAUAUGUGUCGGUCAAAUAUGUGCGUAACUCAUAUCGUUAUGGAGUUUGUUAUGUGCUACACCAGCACAACCAAUUUUCAAUCUUUUCGGCACUAAAAAAAAUCCUUCACAUUCAUUGCACAUCACAUCAGUUCUGAAUGAGUACUCAUGUUGGAACAACUUGUUUUAACUAUGCAGGUAUUACACUUUCUUUCAUGUCUCAACUCAAGGAGCUUAGAGAUAGAAGGAGGUCUUGUACCUAGGCCUCUUAGAAUCUCAUUCUGGCUCUUCUGUAAUUUUGUUCAAUUAGCUGGCACGUGCUCUUGGCCUACCACUGGAGUGGCUAGAAAACUACUGCAUAUAACAAGGCUGCUCCUAUUUUUAUUUGUACAAGCAAACGUAUUUAUUCUAUCCUGUUGAAACUAGCUUUUAUUGCA